rnacentral:misc_RNA from 1 species
AAGUCGUAACAAGGUUUCCGUAGGUGAACCUGCGGAAGGAUCAUUAUUGAAAAAUAGAGGCUGUUGCUGGUCCUCAGGGACAUGUGCACGCUUGUUGUUUUAAUUUUUCCAACUGUGCACGUAUUGUAGACCUGGAGUCUUUUUAUUGUUGGAAUAGAUUGAGGACUGCCCAUGUCGCUUUGCCUUGUGUUUCCAGGUCUAUGUUGUAACACACUUCACACAAAAUUACUGGGGAAUAUGAAAUAAUAAAUACAACUUUCAGCAACGGAUCUCUUGGCUCUC